rnacentral:lncRNA from 1 species
GCCGUGUUUGUUCCGGCAGCCGGGGCGCCCUCUGCCUCCUCAACCUCCAGGCUGCCUGAGCUGCUGCUCCUCCGCGACCCGCAGGUCACGGAGAGGGGAUUCCUGGGGUGCAGCGCGGGAUUUGCCCUUUCAGUGCUUGCCCCAGGCCUCUCCUGGCCGCCAUCCUCGAGGGCUGUGGCGACUUCCGAUCCGCCUAGGCUCGAGAGGGGCCUUGUGCUGUUGCACUGAAGCCGGGACAUUCCUCCACAGGAAGUGUGGUCUGUGGUCCAACAUCAACAACUUCUGGCAUCUUUCCAGUCAACUUCCUCACUCUCUCUCCUUCCCAGAGAGAAUCAUAUUCUCAUUAGUCUUCCAAGGAUGA